ACGGAGAUUACGAGCUUGCCCAUUCAGAUAACAUACUCAGAAAGCGUUUUAAAGAAAUUCUCGAUGCGAAAUUAACAUAUGAUAACAUUAUAACAAGGCACAGACCUCUGUCUACUUUAACUGAGCCAACCCAGAACCCAGAGAUACCGAUCGAUUUAACUCGCCAAUUCCCGAAUAGCAGCACUGAUUCAGCUCAUAACCGUUUGCCGGAAAAGGUCGUCCUGG